GACGAACGCUGGCGGCGUGCUUAACACAUGCAAGUCGAACGGAAAGGCCCUGCUUUUGUGGGGUGCUCGAGUGGCGAACGGGUGAGUAACACGUGAGUAACCUGCCCUUGACUUUGGGAUAACUUCAGGAAACUGGGGCUAAUACCGGAUAGGAGCUCCUGCUGCAUGGUGGGGGUUGGAAAGUUUCGGCGGUUGGGGAUGGACUCGCGGCUUAUCAGCUUGUUGGUGGGGUAGUGGCUUACCAAGGCUUUGACGGGUAGCCGGCCUGGGAGGGUGACCGGCCAAAUUGGGACUGAGAUACGGCCCAGACUCCUACGGGAGGCAGCAGUGGGGAAUAUUGCACAAUGGGCGGAAGCCUGAUGCAGCAACGCCGCGUGCGGGAUGACGGCCUUCGGGUUGUAAACCGCUUUCGCCUGUGACGAAGCGUGAGUGACGGUAAUGGGUAAAGAAGCACCGGCUAACUACGUG
rnacentral:rRNA from 1 species